AUUUUGAUUAUAAUAUGUUACAUUCAUACACAUAGUUUAGAAAAGGGCCGAAGCCACGGUUCACAGUGUGUGUGGAUAAAAGCCUUUCGGCUAUUCAAUAAUGAUCCUUCCGCAGGUUCACCUACGGAAA
rnacentral:misc_RNA from 1 species